UACGUAGGGGGCAAGCGUUGUCCGGAUUUAUUGGGCGUAAAGAGCGUGUAGGCGGCCGCACAGGUCCGUUGUGAAAACUGGAGGCUCAACCUUCAGACGUCGAUGGAAACCGUGCGGCUAGAGUCCGGAAGAGGAGAGUGGAAUUCCUGGUGUAGCGGUGAAAUGCGCAGAUAUCAGGAGGAACACCAGUGGCGAAGGCGGUGCUCUGGGCUGGAACUGACACUGAGGAGCGAAAGCGUGGGUAGCAAACAGG
rnacentral:rRNA from 1 species